rnacentral:rRNA from 1 species
GACGUAGGAGGCGAGCGUUGUCCGGAAUUAUUGGGCGUAAAGAGCUCGUAGGCGGUCUGUCACGUCGGCUGUGAAAACCCGAGGCUCAACCUCGGGCCUGCAGUGGGUACGGGCAGACUGGAGUGCGGUAGGGGAGAAUGGAAUUCCUGGUGUAGCGGUGGAAUGCGCAGAUAUCAGGAGGAACACCGAUGGCGAAGGCAGUUCUCUGGGCCGUAACUGACGCUGAGGAGCGAAAGCAUGGGGAGCGAACAGG